CACUCCUGUUUCUUAGAAGAACCCAUAAGGCUCAGACAGAAGUGAAAAUUUUCUUCUGAUCUGGCCCCUGAAAGUGCUCUACAGCUGUGACCGAACACAAG